UAUAGUCAGGUGUAUAGUGCAUGUUUCAUUUUGGUUGAAUAGGUGAUUUAGAUUUCGGCUAUAU
rnacentral:tRNA from 1 species